GGCUCAGUCAGUAGAGCAUGAGACUCUCAAUCUCAGGGUCGUGGGUUCGUGCCCCAU
rnacentral:tRNA from 1 species